rnacentral:rRNA from 1 species
CAGUCGCCGCGGUAAUACGGAGGGUGCAAGCGUUAAUCGGAAUUACUGGGCGUAAAGCGCGCGUAGGUGGUUCGCCAAGUUGGAUGUGAAAUCCCCGGGCUCAACCUGGGAACUGCAUCCAAAACUGGCGAGCUAGAGUAUGGUAGAGGGUGGUGGAAUUUCCUGUGUAGCGGUGAAAUGCGUAGAUAUAGGAAGGAACAUCAGUGGCGAAGGCGACCACCUGGACUGAUACUGACACUGAGGUGCGAAAGCGUGGGGAGCAAACAGGAUUAGAUACCCCUGUAGUCCCUGUCUCUUAUAC